UGUUACAAAUUUAAACUAAUUCUGUGGGCUGAAUUGCAGGCGUCAUGAUAUUCAGAAAAGUGACUGUUAAGUACCCUCUUGUGGCAGGAGUGAGCAGCUGCAGCUUUUUUUUAUUUUUUUGUUUCUUGGAUUCACUUAGUCUCUGGAGAUUUGUGGUUAACUUUGAUCAUGUAACCUUGUAAACAUAAGUGAUCUUUUGUCUCUUAUUUGAAAAGCUCGAGGCUGGGUAAAUGAUAGGAUGUUAUGGCUUGCCCAAAGUAGGGUUUUUGAUAAGAUAACAUCCUAACACAUUUGAUAGGAUAACAUCCUCACACAUUUGAUAGGAUAACAUCCUCACACAUUUGAUAGAAUAACAUCCUCACACAUUUGAUAGGAUAGCAUCCUAACAUCCUAACACAUUGGGGAGGGCAACCAUCGGCGGGCCCUGACUGCAUGUGAGAAGACCUGUCACACUUGACCAGAGGUGAUGAAGGCUGGAGUGGAUUCCUGCAUCAGAAGACUCCAUGUUGGACACCACAACCUGAAGUAGUCCCGUCCUGGGUGGCUGUGACAAGGACCUUGCCCGAGGUAUUCGACCCUUCAGUGAUGACACCUCUUUGCCACAGGAUGUCUUCAGAUGUUGGACCUUAAGGAUCAGAGUCUAUCAAAUUGUACACAUGCCUCAAUGGCUGUGACGUCACUCUGCUCAACAGGACAUGGUCACAUUUUCUUUUAAAUGAACUUUACCACCUAAAGCCUUAGACUCAUCCAACCCAGAACCCACUGACUCACAACCACACAUCACAGCACUGUACAUGGAUAAUGUUAUGAAAUGGUUUAUAUUUGGCAUUUGUUGACAUGUUUUUGAUAUCUUUUUAAGUCAUAAACAGUUUUUCCACAUUGUAUGCACUACUAUUAGCCUUUAAAGUUUCAUCCAUCACCAACUAAACUGAAAUUCAACAUUAAAGCUGACUUGUCUCACUCUGCCAAGUUUAGUUCCAAAUAAAGACUCAAAUUGAACCUUUCUGUGUUCAUAAAACCUUUUUGCGCGUCAUGUUGGGAGGCCUCCCAGCAGGGGAUUUCUAUAUUCCCCUGCAAAACCGCGCGUUACUCGUAGAAAUGUAGGGAUAUCUUGGACAGUUUCAUACAUGGAAUUGUCCUCAUUGAGUAGGUUGCAGGAUUAGA